rnacentral:rRNA from 1 species
AUGGCGGUGGAGGUCGACGGCACCCGGAAGCGCGGGGCGGCGGCCUUCCUGGACGACCCCUUCGAGGUGCUGCAGGCGAAGCGGGGCCGGUGCUCACCGUCCGCCACCGCGGCCUCGGUCGCCGACCUCGGCAUCAACAUGGAGUUCGACCCCGUCAAGGCGGUCCAGUCCGUCUUCCCCGGCGCCGAUCCGCAGCUUCUGCGGGGCUAUCUCGAAGCGUCGGGAAAUGUCUUGGAUGCUGCCAUCAGAAGCUUCAGGGAUUAUUUGGCAUCGGAUUCAGCAACGACCAAUGCUGGUGCCUCCUCAUCUGGAGGACUGAAUGGGCGGAACUAA